UCCGUUGGUGCUGGCGCCACAGCGCAUUUGCCGGGCGGAGAGGUGGGCGGGAGGCCGGCGGCUCUUGCCGGCGGUAGGAGCCCGCAUGCGCUGUGGAGGGCGAGGGAGGUGCUCUUCUGAGCAUCCGGCUUCUCCCUUGCUAGAAGUCUUCCACCUACGAGGAUGUGGUCCCGGGGCCCCCGUUUCUCCGAAGACCGUCCCGAUCGAGGCAGGUAGUGGCUUCUGGGAGGUUCUCCGGGUGCCCGCCUCAGCCGCGGCUGUCGUGUAAGGAGUGUGCCGCCCGCCCUCGCAGAGGCUGUCGGAGACCUUCCCGCCUUGUCCGUCCCCUGACCCCGCACAGGCUGCACACGUUCUGUCCCCCGAGGCGGCUGCCACGAACAAAGGCCGCCUUAGGCCCUUGCGUCCUGUGGGCCAGGCCCUCGAGAGUCUGCGAACACAUUCUUGGAACCACCACCUGGAUGAAGAAAUGGAACCUUACCGCGCUUCCUACCUCCUACUGACUCCCACCGAACGUCCCCCAAAGGUAACCACGGUCUUGACUUUCACCAGCGAUGGCUUUGGCUUGUUCUUCGCUUCAUGUUGAGCCAACCCUUGAGUGCUGUGUGUGCGCAAUGCACCUGCUUUCCUUGCGUGGCUGUGCCGGUCCUCCCCUGCUGUCGAAGGCCCAGUGUGUGAGCACAGCACGGUUUAUUCUUUCUCCUGUGGGUGCUCCGGUUUGUGCAGAGGCUGCCUGCAGAUCCACAUGCAUCGUAUUGGGUUGCCUUGGAGGAGCAGGGCGUGAGUGGUGGCACGUGUCUGUUCCCCACGAGCAACAGCGUGCGGGAGCUCAGGGCUGGCUGAUGCCUGGUAUUGCCUCUUCUCGUGUGUUAGCUGGUUGCUGGGGCUCAGGUGCUGGGAGGUAUGGUGUAUUCGUGGGACCCGCCCCUGUGUGUGUCUUGGCCACUUACGUGUUUCUUUUGUAUAAUAAUUGCCUUUUGGAAGCCACUUUGUGAUUAGGUUGUGUGUUUUGGUUUUUGUUGAUUUGAAUGAGUUCUUUCUACGUGUGUGGAAUACAUCUGUGAAUGGCAGAGGUUUUCACAUUCUUGUGUAUGUCUGCCUUACAUUCUCUGUGUUGCCUUGUGGUAAGUUUCUUUUGUUUCUAUCCAAUAGUAUAACCAUUUGUAUGUUUCUUGCCUUGGAUUGGCUAGGGCCUCCAGUACUGUGUUGAAUGGAAGUGGUGAGAGUAGGUGUCCUUGUCUCCUUCCAGAUACGAGAGAGAAGGGUUUCGUAAGUUUUUGUAUACUUAAUAUUUUUUAAAGUUUCUUUCUUUAUUGAUUCCGAGAGCGUGCAUGGGAAGGGGAGUGAGAGAUGGGAAAGAGAGUGGAUCCCAAGCAGACUCCGCCCUGUCAGCACAGAGUCUGAUGCGAGGCUUGAACUCAUGAACCGUGAGCUCAUGGCCUGAGCUGAAAUCAAGAGUCAGACGCUUCACCGACUAGAAGCCACUCAGGUGCCCCAAAGAGUUCAGUAUUUUACCACUACAUAUGACACUUUCCGUGGCAUUCCUGGUAGAUAGUUGGAUCAAAACAUGAAAAUUCUCCUCUAUUUUUAGUUUGCUCUGAUUUUUCAACAAUCAUCAAAGAAAUAAUAAUACUAAAUUUUCUGAAAUGUGUUUUGUGCAUCUUUGGGGACAAGUGAUUUGUUUCAAUGUUGUGGUUUAACUUAAAACAACUUUUGCCCUUCUAGAAUAAAUCAAACCUGAUGUCUAUGCAUUCUCUUUUCACUGGAUUGCAUUGGUAAAUAGUGUGCUUUGGAUCCUCGCAUGUGUAUUCAAGAGAGAGGUGGGUGUUCCCUUGCACCCUCUUGUGCUGUCCUUGCUGGGGUUUGGGUUACAGGUCGUGCUGGCCUCCUAAAACAACGUAGGAAGAAGCACUCCUUGUGCUUUCCCAGAAGAGUUUUUGUGUGUGUUCUUUUCUUUUGGGAAGAAGUGCUAGGCCAACAGCGGGUGUAGGGUUUUCCUUGUGAGAAGGGUUUUCAUUGCAGAUUCCUUUCUUAAGUGGAAAUGGGAUUUUUCUGAUUUCCCAUAUCUUCUUGUGUCUAUUUAGAUGAGGCAUUUUGUUUUCUAGGAAUUUGCUCUGACCUCCCAAACUUUCCAAGGAAUAAGUGUCAACUGGUUUCUAAUAUCCCUCCUAUCUGCAGCAUCUGGUGUGAUAUUUGCUUUAGAACUUCUUGAUAUUGGUACUUUGUGCUUUGUUUCUUUUUCAUAGCACCAACUUGGGCUGUUUUGAUUUCUGUCAUUUACUAUUUGUUUCCUGCAGCACUGAUUUCUGCCCUUCUGUUUUCCAUCUACUUGGUGAUGGUUUGCUGUCCCAUCUUGUAGUUCUAGAACUAAAUCCUUCAUUUGAUUUUUAGCCUUUGUUCUUUUCCAGUAUGUGUAUUGUAUUUAUUUGCUUAUUAGUGUGUUGAUUCAUUUUAGAAUGAGAGCAUGAGCAGGGCAGAGGGUCAGACGGAGAGGGAGAGAGAGAGAGAGAGAGAGAGAGAGGGAGAGAAUCUCGAGCAGGCUCCUCACUCAGUGUGGAGCCAGGCUGGGGAUUGAUCUUGUGGCCGUGGGAUCAUACCCUGAGCCAAAAUCAAGAGUUGGUCACCAAGCAACUGAGCUAUCCUAUGAUAUAUGUAUUCUAAAGCUAUGAGUCUCCCUUUAAGCACACCUUUACUGAUCUCACAAGUUUUGAUAAGCCAAAUGUUUAUUAUCUUUUAUGUGAAACUAUUUCCUAACUUUCAUUGUGGCAUCUUUUUCUUAAUUCAUCACAACGUUUAGGAACAUAACACAUCUUGAUGUUUCGGGGAUUUUCUCGUUCUCUUUGUGCGGAUUUCUAGCUGAAUUCCAUGAAGGUAUCUGUCUCAGUGUUUUGGGGUGGUUGUAACAAAAUACCAUAGACUGGCUGCCUAAUAAGAAACAGAAACUUCUUUCCUACAGUUGAGGAGACUGGGAAGUUCUCAAGAUCAAGGCAUCUGCAGAUUCAGGGUCAGGUGAGAGUCAGCUUCCUGGUUCAUCAACAGCCUGCUUCUCCCUGUCCUCCUGUGGUGGCAGGGGUGACGGUGCUCUCUCAGUCGCCCAGGACUGGUCAUCACCGGAAGUCUCCCUGUCUUCAUCCCAUCACUGUGGACGUGAUGAAUUGUUGGGGGAAUUGAACUGUGAAUCUAAUGCAAUCCCUAAAUAUGCCCUGCAGUAUUUCAGUCCUUUCAGAUGAGCUGACUUUCCUAAUGGCCUGGCAUAUAUUCGUUUUCAUGAACCGUUCCUCGGGCACGUGAAAAUAAUGUGUAUUGGGGGAAUGCAGUAGUCUCUAUUUAUAGGUUAGAUGAAGCUCGUUAAUGACAGAAUUCAGAUUUUAGUAACCACUUGAAACCAAGUAAGGAAUAGGUGAGAAUGAGUUUCAUAAUAUAACCAGCAGGCAUGUCCAAAAUAUCAUUUCAGUGUAUAGCCGGCGUGAGAAAAAAUUAUGAAUGAUUUUGAAUUCUCUUUUAUCACGUUGUCUUUAAAAUGUGGUGUGCAUUUUAUACUUUCCACACGUCGCACUUUGAGGAGCCGCGUUUCAAGUACUUGCAAUAGAGCACGUGACCGCAUUGGUCAGCCCCGUCCCACUGCCUUGAGUUUUCUGUUGUCGUCAGUUCUGUCAGAUACUGAGAGAUGUAUCGUCAAGUCUCCCAUCGUGCUUAUGGAUGUGGCUCUUUUUCCUUUUCUAUGUUUGUCAAUUUUUCUGUAUUUUGAGAUUGCGUUAUUAGGUAUAUGCGAGUUUGGAAGUCUUGUUCUCUUGGUAGAUGGAACUUCCAUCGGGAAACGGUCCUCUUGGUCACUAGUAGAGCUUUUUGCUAUAGAGGUUACUUUCUUGGAGGGUCCCAGUGGCCACAUCGGUUUUCUGUUCGGUAGGGUUUGCCUGGGGAUCUUUUACUUCCACCUGUCUGUGAUCUUACGUUUUAAGGUGUACCUUUGUGACCAGCGUAUGCUUAGUUUCCUUCUAAUGAAUUUGAGAGUCAACCUUUUCCUUGCAGCAUUUGUGCACAUGCAAUGACUGAUAGGUUAGUUUACACGUACCGUAUUAUUAGUUUCUUCUUUGUCCCAGCUGUUCUGUGUUCUUUUGGUCUCUAGCCUUCCUUUAGAAGUAGGAGGGAGUUUUUAAUUGUACACUGAUCUGUUAGGUAAUUGGAAUAUAUCUAUUUCUAGAGGCAGGUGCAUUUUAAACUGACCCCUGCCUGAUUCAGGACUUAUGCUGCUUCCCUGACACUGCUCUCUCCUUUUAUCUUUUCUUUGUUUUAAGAUUUAUUUGUUUUUUGAGAGAGACAUAAUACAAUCGGGUGAGGGGCAGAGCAGAAAGGGAGACACAGAAUCUGAAGCAGGCUCCAGGCUCUGAGUCAUCAGCACAGAGUCUGACGCGGGUCUCCAACUCACCAACCGUGAGAUCGUGACCUGAGCCAAAGUCGGACACUCAACCGACUGAGCUACCCAGGCGCCCCUGCUCUUUUCUUGGACACUCGAACCACACUGAACUCCUCUUCACCUUUUGUUGGCUAAUAUUUUUAAGUUUUAGAUGGAUUUUGGCGUUGGUGUCAUUGUUUCGUGCACUUAAUGCUUGUUAAGGUUUGUUCUCAUAGUUACCCUUUCUGUUGUGACGUUGUUCUGCAAGCCUUGUUUUUUCAUAUUUCUUUCAGAGACUACAUUUCUUUUGUGCAACGAGCUGCUUCAAUAUUGAUUUUAGUUUGUGUCUGUAGUUGAUGUGUAGUCAUGGUUUGUGUGUGUGUGUGUGUGUGUGUGUUGUUGUUGUUUUUGUUUGUUGUUUCUGUUUUUAUUUUUGUUUUUGCUUCUGUUUUGCCUGAAAAACAUCUUUACUUUGCCUUCACUGUGAAGAAUGUUUCUGUUAGGUAAAGACUUCCAGGUUGGUGGCUAUUUUAGUUGACCUUUCAUACAUGCCAAUCCAUCAUCUGGCUUCAUUUGCUCUUCUUGAAGAGUCAGCUGGUAGUGUUGUUGUUGUUGUCCCAUGGAAGGCGGUAUCUUUGUCCUCUCGUGACUGUUAACAUCUUUUUGCCUCGGGUGUUCUUUGUGGAGUCACUCUCAUGGUUCUUUUAUCAGUUUUGAUUCUUAUCUUUGUAGCGAAGUGGUACUACCCAUUCUGUGUUUCCUCUACUUUGUGGGUUCCUAUUGGACCUUUGUACCAUAUCUUCUGUGUCUUUUGGGCUUCUGUAUUUUCUGGACGUUUUCUCUGUGUAUGGUCUAGAUAUAUUUUUACCUAACUAUCUUUCAGUUCACUGAGUCUAUUCACCUGUGUCUAGUCUGAUGUGAAACCCACAGACUGAGUUCUUAAUGCCAUUAACAAGAUUUUUUAGUCUUUGAAUUAUGUUAGAGAGCUAGACAGAGUGGGAGCAAGGGAAGAACAGAGAGAGAGGGAGACACAGAUGCCGAAGCAGGCUCCAGGCUCUGCACUGUCAGCACAGAGCCCAACGCGGGGCUCAAACUCCCGAAUCACGAGAUCAUGACCUGAGCUGAAGUCAGAUGCUUAACCAACUGAGCCACUCAGGCACCUGGAGAUCUUAAUUUUAGCUCUGAUCAUUUGCAGUUGGAGAAUCUGUUUUGAGUCUCUGACAAUUUCCCAUUUGUCAAGAAUGGUUUUUGGACAGUUGACUUUUGCAUCCAAUAACUCCAGUCUAUGGGUCUCCUCUUGGUCUGUUUCUCUUCUUUCUUCUUUGGGUCGAUAUGAUGUAAAACCUGUUUGUUUGUUUGUUUUUUAUGUUUAUCUAUUUAUUUUGAGGGAGAAAGAAAGUGAGAGCAGGGGUGGGGGUAGAGGACGGGGGAGAGAGAGAGAGACACUGUUGAGGAGAGGCUCUUUUCUGUCAGUAGAGAGCCCAACACAGGGCUCAAACUCACAAACGUGAGCCGAAACCAAGUGUUGGUCACUUAAACGAGUAGACUGAGCUAUCCAGGUGCCUCUCUUUUUUUUGUUUGCUUGUUUGUUUCUUUCCUUUUCUUAUUAAAAUAAUUUUUUUUAAUAUUAUUUACUUUUGAGAGAGAGAGAGAGGUAGAGACAAAACUUGAACAGGGGAGGGGGAGGCAAAGUGGGAGACACAGAAUCCAAAGCAGGCUCCAGGCUCUUCACUGUCACCACAGAGCCCGACGCGGGACUCAAACCAUAAAGCGUCGGAUCAUGACAUGAACCAAAGUGGGAUGCUUCCCCGACUGAGCCACCCAGCCAUUCCUUUCAUUUCCUUGCCUUGCUUUGCCUUGCCUUGCCUUGCCUUGCCUUGCCUUGCCUUUCCUUUCCUUUCCUUUCCUUUCCUUUCCUUUCCUUUCCUUUCCUUUCGUUUCCUUGCCUUUCGUUUCCCUUCAUUUCGUUUCCUUUUCAUUUUUUUCUUUUCUUUUCUUUUUUCUUUUCUUUUCUUUUCUGUCUUUUUUUGGUCUUGUCUUAUCUUGUCUUUUCAUUUCUUCUUUGUUUUUAUUUUUGUGCUGGACUGUAUGGAGAAGCAUAGAGGCUCUUCGUGUGCUUGUAUUCCUUCAGCAUUUCAUCCCACACACCCCGAGUGCGGCGGUUAUUGGGCCCACUCAGGCGUGAGUGAGUCGAGACU